rnacentral:rRNA from 1 species
GACGAACGCUGGCGGCGUGCUUAACACAUGCAAGUCGAACGGAACUCUUUGGAUCAAGACUUCGGUCAAGUGAAUUUGAGUUUAGUGGCGGACGGGUGAGUAACGCGUGAGGAACCUGCCUUUCAGAGGGGGACAACAGUUGGAAACGACUGCUAAUACCGCAUAACGUAUAGAGAUCGCAUGGUCUUUAUACCAAAGAUUUUAUCGCUGAAAGAUGGCCUCGCGUCUGAUUAGCUAGUUGGUGAGGUAACGGCCCACCAAGGCGACGAUCAGUAGCCGGACUGAGAGGUUGACCGGCCACAUUGGGACUGAGAUACGGCCCAGACUCCUACGGGAGGCAGCAGUGGGGAAUAUUGGGCAAUGGGNGCAAGCCUGACCCGGCAACGCCGCGUGAAGGAAGAAGGCUUCGGGUUGUAAACUCUUUGUCCAGGGAAGAGUAGAAGACUGUACCUGGCGAAUAAGCCACGGCUAACUAACGUG